rnacentral:rRNA from 1 species
ACGGGGUGCAGCAGGCGAGAAAACUUUGCAAUGUGCGAAAGCACGACAAGGUUAAUCCGAGUGAUUCUUGCUAAAGGAAUCUUUUGUUAGUCAUAAAACCACUAAUGAAUAAGGGGUGGGCAAGUUCUGGUGUCAGCCGCCGCGGUAAAACCAGCACCUCAAGUGGUCAGGAUGAUUAUUGGGCCUAAAGCGUCCGUAGCAGGCUUUGUUAGUUUUCGGUUAAAUCCAUAUGCUCAACAUAUGGGCCGCCGGGAAUACUACAAAGCUAGGGAGUGGGAGAGGUAGACGGUACUCCGUAGGAAGGGGUAAAAUCCUUUGAUCUAUGGAUGACCACCAGUGGCGAAGGCGGUCUACCAGAACACGUUCGACGGUGAGGGAUGAAAGCUGGGGGAGCAAACCGGAUUAGAUACCCGGGUAGUCCCAGCUGUAAACUAUGCAAACUCAGUGAUGCAUUGGCUUGUGGCCAGUGCAGUGCCGCAGGGAAGUCGUUAAGUUUGCCGCCUGGGAAGUACGUACGCAAGUAUGAAACUUAAAGGAAUUGGCGGGGGAGCAC